GUCUAUGGCCAUACCACCCUGAAUGUGUCCGAUGUCGUCUGAUCUCGGAAGCUAAGAAGGGUUGGGCCCGGUUAGUACCUGGAUGGGAGACCGCCUGGGAAUACCAGGUGCUGUAGGCU
rnacentral:rRNA from 1 species